AUUGAACGCUGGCGGCAGGCUUAACACAUGCAAGUCGAGCGGAGAUGAGGUGCUUGCACCUUAUCUUAGCGGCGGACGGGUGAGUAAUGCUUAGGAAUCUGCCUAUUAGUGGGGGACAACAUUCCGAAAGGAAUGCUAAUACCGCAUACGCCCUACGAGGGAAAGCAGGGGAUCUUCGGACCGUGCGCUAAUAGAUGAGCCUAAGUCGGAUUAGCUAGUUGGUGGGGUAAAGGCCUACCAAGGCGACGAUCUGUAGCGGGUCUGAGAGGAUGAUCCGCCACACUGGGACUGAGACACGGCCCAGACUCCUACGGGAGGCAGCAGUGGGGAAUAUUGGACAAUGGGCGGAAGCCUGAUCCAGCCAUGCCGCGUGCGUGAAGAAGGCCUUUUGGUUGUAAAGCACUUUAAGCGAGGAGGAGGCUACCUGGAUUAAUACUCUAGGAUAGUGGACGUUACUCGCAGAAUAAGCACCGGCUAACUCUGUGCCAGCAGCCGCCGUAAGAC
rnacentral:rRNA from 1 species